rnacentral:rRNA from 1 species
UACCAGCACCCCGAGUGGUCGGGACGAUUAUUGGGCCUAAAGCAUCCGUAGCUUGUUCUGCAAGUCCUCCGUUAAAUCCACCUGCUCAACAGAUGGGCUGCGGGGGAUACUACAGGGCUAGGAGGCGGGAGAGGCAAACGGUACUCAGUGGGUAGGGGUAAAAUCCUCUGAUCCACUGAAGACCACCAGUGGCGAAGGCG